rnacentral:rRNA from 1 species
UAGGGAAUCUUCGGCAAUGGACGAAAGUCUGACCGAGCAACGCCGCGUGAGUGAAGAAGGUUUUCGGAUCGUAAAACUCUGUUGUUAGAGAAGAACAAGGACGUUAGUAACUGAACGUCCCCUGACGGUAUCUAACCAGAAAGCCACGGCUAACUACGUGCCAGCAGCCGCGGUAAUACGUAGGUGGCAAGCGUUGUCCGGAUUUAUUGGGCGUAAAGCGAGCGCAGGCGGUUUCUUAAGUCUGAUGUGAAAGCCCCCGGCUCAACCGGGGAGGGUCAUUGGAAAAUGGGAGACUUGAGUGCAGAAGAGGAGAGUGGAGUUCCAUGUGUAGCGGUGAAAUGCGUAGAGAUAUGGAGGAACACCAGUGGCGAAGGCGGCUCCCUGGUCUGUAACUGACGCUGAGGCUCGAAAGCGUGGGGAGCAAACAGG